rnacentral:lncRNA from 1 species
UUUUUUUUUUUUUUUUUUUUUUUUGUAAAAGAAAAUUUGGUGAAUUUGGCUUCACUCAACACUACGGAUCAAAGUAUGUCCCAAGUACUGUAUAUAUACACUUAUAGACGUUAUUCAAACACGCAACUUUUUAUAAAAAAAAUAAUUUAUUUUUACCAUUUGAAUCAACUUAUCUUGCCGUCCAUUUUGUUUUCUUCCCAUCAUUACCAUGAAAUUGACCUUGAAGCUAAAGUGCUAAACAGAUAAACUCAUACUGACAGAUCAAAGAAAAUUAAGAAUGAAUACUUUACAGCUGUAAAAGGUUAAUCAUUAUCCAUCUUCUUUUGAAGAAGUAAUUUUUUUUUUUUUUUUUUACUUCAAAUAUGUCUUGCUGUCUAGGCAACAUAGCAAAGUGGUUAUGAAAUAGGGACAGGCAAUUUCUUCACAAGUUAGUUUCCUGAUUUUCUCCAACUUUAGUAUCCCUUCUUUUGGUUCACUGGCCCUCUUGGAAUCUUGCUAAGGAUUUUUGAAUCAAAUUUUUUGUACAAUUUCUUCAUUUCUCUCCUCCCUUGGCUUGCGAGAUGAUCCACUUCAUUUUGAUGACGCUCAUAUAAAGCUGGUAAAGUUGCCAAGCUGAGGAAGCCUUCAAAUCCCAGCAAAAAAUAACAAAAGAUGCCAUGCAUGAUUAGUAACUUACAUAUGAUGACAAUAAUACAACACUAUUCCAACAACAUCAACAGAUUUUCAUCAACCUUACCAAUGUAUAAGAAGUUCAAAGAGCUGAAAGAGCUUCCGAUAAUUGACAACAUCCAGAGGAAAGUGAUUGCCUGAUUGGAAGUAUACAAAAGAAAAGGAAGGUCAGAAGACAAUGAUAACACAAUCAAUUGGCGGAAAGACAAAAUGGAACACAGCAGGAUCAAAAUGACAAUUGAGCGAAGAUGUAUACCAGAAAAAAUGUUUUUAUAUCUUUUCCAGAUGAAAUGUCAUACAAAUUCAACAAUAUCCAGUUGAUUUUGGCAAACAGCCAUCUGAAUGUAGCUUCAGGCACUGUUAUAGCAUGCAAAUCUGGGGGAUUCCUGUAGAGCAUUUGGAGACAGAAAGUUUGGCAAUAUUAGCUCAGUUAAAACUUAAAGAUGGCGAAACUAACUUGCAAUAUGAAUUGGUAACGCAGUAGAGGUAUUAGGAAAGAAAACAGUACCAAUCAACUAAUCCUGCCCCAGUGGACCAAAUAAACAUAAUUAACAUCAUAAUGAUAGAGAUGUGACACAGAAGAGUGAUGAAAUUGUAUUCCACCAAUUCAAAAAGGAGCCAUAUAAUUGUGACGCCUAUUAGGAUUGUAGCAGAUAACUUCUUGUUUUCCCACAGUAGUAUGUCUGCAACUGCAAUUGAAAAUGCAAAUGUCACGUAAACACAUCUUUCUUGUGCGAAAACAUGUACUUUUGACUCACUUUGUUCUUACAGCGUAUUCCAAUCUGGCAAUCAAGAAGAGGUUUAAUUUAAGCCUCACACAAAGGACACGAAUCAUUCAAAAAAAAAAAAAAAAAAAGGUAGCAUGUUCAAGUGCGACUGUUAUUCAUUGUAAACAACACUUGUCGAUGAAAGCAAUUUUUCACUUCUGGAGAAACAUGAUUAUGCUAAUUGCCCUUUUCAAUUUUGGGCUCCGGAUGAGAUAAUUUAAUUCAGCUCCUUAUAUUUCUGGAGAACAGGUGUAACGAACGGAUUUUGAAUUACAGGCAUGUUCAUAUAUGUAAUUAUUGGGAAAUACAUUGUUAUUUUUAAAACAACUUGAAAUCACUUCUUUAUUUCACAAUAUUAAUGCGCUUUAGCUUACAAUGACAAUACAGAAUUCUUGAAUUUCUUUGUAAUAAGGCAAGAUGGAGGAGAUAUUAAAACUUAUGAAGCAAACCAGACUAGAUUACCAUAAUAUCCAUGGGAAUUAUACGCAGGAUAUUAUAUGGAAAAAAAAAAAAACACUCUUAUGUUAGGCUGUCUGACAUUUGAGAAAUAAUCUUAUAGAGAAAGAAAACUAUUUUGGAAAAGCAAUACAAAAAUUCGUUCGAUUUCGAAAUAAAAGAAUAUAUGGCAUCAAAAGUUAAAAUGGUAAAGAAGAACAGGAUAAAAAGUUGAGAAUCACCUUUUCCCCCUCCAAGGAUCUGAUGCAAGGAUCUUUGACGACCAAACAAUCUUAUUGGAGAUAGCGGCUGUUCAUCUGAAUCUGAGGAUGAGCUCGACAUGGCUAAUCGAUCUUCCAACAAAGUAUGUCAAUAUCAGUGCUGCUAGCUAUUCAUAUACUUUAGACCUUAUACAGCAUUGUCAUAUAUAUGCUGCAGUAUGAUUCUAAUCUUAGCCACCAAGACACAUUUGGCAAGUAAGAAAGGUAUGGCUUUGGCAUGGCUGAGAAGAUAGCCUCCACUGCAGGGGCUCAGAACUCAUUAAAUUAAUAGCUCAUCUUCUUCAAUCCAUUUUUAGUCUUCCUUUAAUAGCUGAGAACUUUCUUGACUCAUUUAAACAUCCAAGUAAAGAAACUGGUCAUGGAUUCUCUGUGUUUCAUUUGGUAGUUGGCAAUGAUCACAUGAACAGAAAAUUCAUUAUGGAUUCUCAAAGGAAAUAUGCGAGAGUUAAAAAUCUCUUGUACGCUGCAAAUUUGAUCCUUAAGGUCUUUGUUAAGCUCUAUACACUAGGGGAACUUCUUGACUAUUUCAUACCUAGCAGAAAUUAAUCUUAUUUUGUCACCAUAAUUGAGCACCGGAUCCAUGCUAACAAGUGACCACGGUAUACAAACAAGAAAUCCAGAGUUAUGGGAACAACAAAUAUAAUUGAUAAACAAGUUAAUGACCAAGUAACUCGUUUUCAAUAUUGUCUGAUCCACUGAUUAAAAGUAGAUUGAGAUCAAAAAAUAAAAUAUCCUUCUCGAGCUUAACCUAAACUGCGGACACCCUUCCACCGGAUUUCAACUAGACCAAUUGAAGUAUUAUUGAACCGGGCUGCCUGCCGUGCUGUGGACGUUAACUUUGUCAGAGUCACAUUUGUCGGAUUUUUUUAAAAAAAUUUUGGCAAUAUUUUGAGGAAUUAGCUAGCCCGUUUUUGGUUUUUCCUUUUUUUUUCCUGAUAUGUAUCAUUUUACAAAUUUUUAGUCACCAAAAAAAAGGUUAAAGAAAAUGAAAAGGCAAAUGGGAUGAUGCAUCAAAAAUAAAGAAAAUUUUGACCAUUUUGCAGAGAGGGCGAUAGGCAUGAGCAGCUAUCAUGAUUGCGCUAGUCAUGACUCACACCAUCAUCAUUGUAGCACUCAUGAUUUUAAGGGCACGCAAAUUCUUUCGUUCAAAUAAUCGCAGAUUGAGCUUGUACGCCUUUAGGCACUGCAGAGCCGGAGUGGGAUUUGGGGUGGCUUUUUCUCUAGGAGGAAAUCUUUGACCAGAAUAGGAGCAAUUAGAGUUAUAUUGCUUGCUAUUAGCAUACUAAUUAAUCACAAAAUCCAUUUCAUUGUGAGUAUAUUACUAAACAAUCAUUGAUACAUCACUUUUGCAUUGUUGAUAGAUGCUGGAAAUCAUUAUAGCCUAUAAACAGCCUCCUCCCUAGCCUUAUCAUUGCCAAAACCAAUAAAAGCAUGCAUCAUGAUCUUAAUGACAUGAUAGAACUGAUUUAGAAAAGGACUUUAGCAAGGACCACAGGGAUUAGAACAAAACAGCCCUCUUCAUCAUUUGCCAAGGCGAAUCUAUCAAUGUUGGCAGGAGAAUUCCACAGCAAAAGAGCCUCAUAUCCGAUGUACCUUUUCAUAUUUAUGCUCCAAUCUUCUGACAACUCGUGUAUUGCACAAAUGUAUACGCUGAAAGAGCUCAAGCAAUAGACUGUGGGCAUGCAAGUACCUUGACCUAAGCUGUGUUGGUAGAUCAAAAAAGAAAAUUAAUAAGAAAUGAAGAAGAAAAAGUGCCACAGGCAUUGCAGGAAACUGAGAGAUUGAGAGGUUAGCUUCUCCAAGAUUUGAAAGGUUAAUAUGUAUAUUAUAAUUGCAAACUCAUGAAUAGGAUUUGGUAAAUUUACACAGAAAAUUCACUACUGCAUCAUCCACUAAUAUGAACGUAUACAUUGAUUGUGCCUGCCUCCUACUGGUUGAAUUACAAAUAAUGCUAAUGUUUCGAACCUUGCAUUAGGGAUAGAAGACGAAAACAUCACAGAAUUGACUGAUGUUGCAAGUAAAUUUUGCACUAAGCUUCAGUUCUUUGUUCAACUCCUCUAGAUCCCGUUUAUCACAACCUUAAAGUACUGCUAAAGGAACUACUCCUGUAACAGAAGUGGUUUUUGUAGCCCAUCAUUUGUAAUACUUCAAUCAUGUUCAAGACUUCACGUUCAAGAAAUUGAAGGUCCUAUUAUAAUUGUACUAAAUUUUUCAUGAACCAGGAGUUUAAAGGGCAACUGGACAAGGCAAAGACUACACAUGUGAUCUGAAAUGGCGGAGCGAGCAUGCCUCCCUUGCAUCACAUCACCGAAAAGGGCAAAACAACUUCAGUUCAGGGUUGGAAGGCCAUCAUUUCAUUCAUUUGCAGGCCAUAAUUUUGGGCCCUGUGGUCAAAAUAAAUACUAUUAUGGACAUAGAAUGCUACUGCAUUUUUUUUUCUUUUACCUAUAUUCUGUCUUUUUUCUGCUAAUUCCUCUUCGUGGUAGUACAAUCUCUAAUGAUGAUUUCUGUUCACGAACAGGGUUUGCCUAAUUGAAAGUGCAUCGCAUUUCCAAUUGUUUACAGUGUCAAAUUUGACAGUAUAGUUGAAGUCGGCGGACCCCAUUUGGAGCUUGGACAAAGAACCAGUCAUGUAGCUCCAUCAUGCAGGAUAAUAGAGGGGUAAUAUCAUGAUCUCAUGAAGGACAAUGUGAAAAUGCAGGACACUUUAAAGAGUCACCCUUUUUGACUUUGUGAAUUCUUUAUCCUAAAGCCUUAAAGAGAAAAGCAGAUAAUCUUUUGAUUUUCGAUGAUUUUACUAUCUUUUAAGUACCGCUUUAUUUUGCUGUACAAAGAAAGAUAUAUGAGGAGGAUGGGGAUAAAAGAGGGAGCCAAAUAGUUAAAAGGACAAAUUAAGUGCAUUGGACUUUUACUUUUCCUAUACCGAUUUCACAUCGACCCUUUCUUUUUGUUUAUAAAGCUUUUCGUUUCUGAAUAAAAUACAAAGUUGUGAAAAUAUGUUGGUAAACUAAUUGCCAUCUUGUGGGUAUAGCUGUAGUGGGGGAAAAUAAUAAUGGUUGAGAAUAUGAUUACCUGUUGAGUUGAGGCUGAGUUCCUGGAAGAAAUAAUGUGGAGAAAAUGCUAGCCUGCAUGCUUAGAAAGAUUACCAAUAAGAAGUAAUCAUUGACAGCACUUAAAAAAGUUGCAAUUGAUUUACCUAUAACUGGAUUUAAACUUUGGCUCGAACAAGUAAUAGAUUUUUUUUUUUUUUUUGCUUGGAUCAAUGGAUGUAAUUCUCAAUGCUAUAUAUAUAUAUUCUUUUUUUUCUUUUCUUUAGAAAGGGCUUGUUUUCUUCAAAUUAAUCAUACUCUGUGAAUGUCUAAUUACGUUGAAACAAGUAAGAACAUCUCUAUCCUUUUCUCACUUAUUCAUAGCAUGAGGGUUUCUUUUUUGGUACAACAUGAUUUGUGUUUCAAGUUAAUCGUAAUACUUUAGAAAGUCAGUUUCUACAUUAAUUUAUCAAACAUGAUAAAGUAGUCGGAAACAAAAGUAAAACUACAUUAUGAAGCCAAUCAAAAUAAUCUACCGGGAAACAUUGUGGUAAAAUCAAAUUUCAUGUUUGCCAAAUUAGAUGUUUAUUGUGCAAUCUAGUAUUACUUUUUUUUUUUCCUUAUUUUCCCCAAUCAAAGUUAACUAGAUUCUAAAAUGAGCGUGCAAAAGGGAAAAUUGACUGCCCAUGAGACAAGAAAACAUAUUUUGUAUCCAUUUUCAAGCAAGAAAAGCCCGAGACAAGUCAAAAAGUAACAUUUAACUAGGGUCACUUUUUGGUAUUUAAAAUAACGAAAAACAAAAAACUAGGAGCUCCUUCUAUAUUUCUUUUGCGGGUCAAGGAAUUAAAUUUCAAAUUCCUCUGUUAAUGCUUUAGUUUUUUUAUUUUAUCAGUAGAAAUGAGUUAUGAGGUAUAACUAGGGUUACAAAUGAGUUGAAUCGAGUCGAGUAUUGAUCUAAUCGAAUCGAAUCUUGACUUAGUUUUAUCAAACUCGACGAGCUGCCAGUCUAAAUUUCAAGCUCGAGUUCGACUCAAAUUCUAGUUGACUUCGAGCUUGAAAAAAUAAAAAAUAAUUAUUUUAUUUUUUAAAAAAUAAAUAAAAUAAUAUCUUUUUCUUAAUAAAUAACUCAAGCUCGAUUUAGUCGGCUCGCGAUCUGCUCGAUUCGUUUGCAGUGCUAGGUAUAAUAAUCUUCAUACUGCAGCCCGAAACCCCCUUCCCCUCAAAAGUCCAAACCCAAAAAUAAAUUAAUUAAUUAUAAAAAAAGUAGUCUUGGACGUAUUCUGAAUAAUUAAUUGAGAAACAGAUAAUUUUAUGUCCUUUUUUUUUAAAAAAAUUGAUAUAUAUGAAAACACAUAACAUGAUGAACACUUAAAAAAAAAAAAAAACUGGUAAACGAAACAAAGAAUAAGUGCUUACUUGCUAUUAGAAUUUUCUCAUUUUAAGGAUGACUAAUGAUUGUUGCAUGGUGAAUCAGUGAUGAACUUUUUUAAAAGCAUGAAAUGUUUAAGCCUAAAGUUUUAGCAUAGGUAUGGGGUGAAAACUUUAUCAAUAUCACCACCUCUUUUCAGCCAUCUCCUUCCUCUAUAAAUUGAGACAACAGCCAAAUCCCACUUCAUCCAUCUCUCUCCAUCUCCCAAUCCCUCUCCCAAACCAGCAAUUCUUCAUCAUCAAAAACAUCAUGAAGCACCUAGCAUUCGUUGCAGUUCUUCUCUUGGUUCUUGGAGGGAUUGAGAAAGCAAAAGCAGUGACUUGCAACCCUUUGCAGCUGAGCCCAUGUGCAAACGCUAUAACAUCUUCCUCUACACCUACUGCAAUCUGCUGUUCCAAGAUAAAAGAACAGAGGCCAUGCUUAUGCAGCUACAUGAGGAACCCUAAUCUCAAGAAGUUCAUCAGCUCUCCUAAUGCCAGGAAGGUGGCCAACACUUGUGGCACUCCAUUUCCUCAAUGCUAAGAGUCCAUUGAUUAUUUCUGUUUUUAGCAUCUGGUCUUAGUUAUAUAUAUAUAUAUAUAUUGAGUCUAUUAUGGUCAUGUUUUGCAUUAUCUAUUCCACCUAGCCUAUGUUCUAUCAUCUCUGUAUCACUGUGGAACUUGUGUGGCGAGUGAUCAGUCUUUGGUGUCAUAGUUAUUAUGGGAAUGGGCGCUGUCGCAGUACAACCAUGUUGUGCUUGCAUUGGACUAUGUUUUACUUUGCUUAUUGUAAUGAAGAUUGAAUAAUUAACGCUAACCCUAUCUACUAUUUUGUUUACGCUCUUUUUUUUUUAUUAGUGAAGCGGUAAUUGAAGGAUAGAGGCGUCUAUAGAUUACAUUGAGAUACAUGAUCAACAUAUAUAAACAUACUGAUUUCAUGAUGGUACAUGGUCAACCAUAAUUGACAGAUUAAAAAUUUUGCAACAAAAGUUGCAUGCGAUGUAAAUUUGAGUGAGCAUUAUAAACUUGUACUGUCAUCUCGACUCACAAAAAAAGUAUAAAGUCACCCAAAUUUCUAGUUUAAAAUCAUGUUAUACCAUUUGGUACGUAAUAGUCUGCAUAUAAAAUGCUUUAAGUAACACUAACAAAUCAAAUUACAUUCAUAAUAUAAGGAAAAUUUUAAUAAUGCUCCCUUAAUUAUUUGUUAACAUCACUUCUUAUAACUUUUUUUUACUCCUGCAAAAUGAUAAAAAAUGCUCAUACUCUGCAUUUUGGCUACAAUUUCAUUGAAAAGGGGUAGUUGUAAAUUCAAUGCAAAAUGGGAAUUUGACUAACUCACAUGGUCAAAAAGGUCAAGAGAAGUGCCGUUGACAAAUAAGAGAAUGCAAUUAACACCUCUCCAUAACAUUAUACCAAGUCAACCUUAUUAAGACUAAAAGCUCUGCAAAGUUUAAUUUCAUCAUCGAAUUAAAUAAAGUUCAUUUUUGUUUACGUAGGUCAAGUGGAUCGAGUCUAAGCCACACCACACCAAUUAUUGUAUUUAAUAAAGAGCUCCAUAAUAUUAUACCAAGUCAACCUUAUUAAGACUAAAAAUUUUACAAACUUUAAUUUCAUCAUCGAAUUAAAUAAAGCUCAUUCUUGUUUACGUAGAUCAAGUGGAUCGAGUCUAAGCCACUCCACACUAAUUAUCAUUUUUAAUAAAGAGCUCCAUAAUAUUAUACCAAGUCAACCUUAUUAAGACUAAAAAUUUUACAAACUUUAAUUUCAUCAUCGAAUUAAAUAAAGCUCAUUCGUAAAAAGCUCAUUCUUGUUCACGUAGGUUAAAUGGAUCGGGUCUAAGCCACUCCACACCAAUUAUCAUUUUUAAUAAAGAGCCAUCUAAUUUUCGAGAUGGUUUGUAGGUGUGUCUUUCUUUCUUGCUCAAAAUGGUCAUUUAAUUUUUGGGAUUGUUUGUAGGUGUGUUCUUUCUUGCCCAAAAUAGAAAACCAUUUUUAGUGUUUUGCUCGGAGCUUUCUUAAAUGAUUCUGCAAUUGAUUUCUAAGGACAGUGUCAGAGUAAGGUUUAGCUGAGAAGAAGUGAUUUUAUCUACUAACAUCCAACAAAGGACUAAAGAAAGGAAAACCCUCGGGAAAAACCUCUGAAGUGCAAACCUUUUCCUAUAGACAGAUACUUUAGAUACAUAGCUCAUUAAGGACCUUUCCAGAUCUUCUAAUUUUCAUCAAAAACAUACCCCAGAAACUAUUGAUACACAAGCACUACAACCAAACCAUGAUUAGACCUUCAAUUCCUGUUGAUUCUCC